UACGUAGGGGGCAAGCGUUGUCCGGAAUCAUUGGGCGUAAAGAGCGUGUAGGCGGCCAGAAAAGUCCGCUGUGAAAACUCGAGGCUCAACUUCGAGCUGUCGGUGGAAACUUUCUGGCUAGAGUCCGGAAGAGGAGAAUGGAAUUCCUGGUGUAGCGGUGAAAUGCGCAGAUAUCAGGAAGAACACCCGUGGCGAAAGCGGCUCUCUGGGACGGUACUGACGCUGAGACGCGAAAGCGUGGGGAGCAAACAGG
rnacentral:rRNA from 1 species